GACGAACGCUGGCGGCGUGCUUAACACAUGCAAGUCGAGCGGUAAGGCCCUUUCGGGGGUACACGAGCGGCGAACGGGUGAGUAACACGUGGGUGACCUGCCUCUAGCUCUGGGAUAAGCCUGGGAAGCUGGGUCUAAUACCGGAUAUGACCUCGCGGUGCAUGUUGCGGGGUGGAAAGCCUUGUGCGGCUCGGGAUGGGCCCGCGGCCUAUCAGCUUGUUGGUGGGGUGAUGGCCUACCAAGGCGACGACGGGUAGCCGGCCUGAGAGGGCGACCGGCCACACUGGGACUGAGACACGGCCCAGACUCCUACGGGAGGCAGCAGUGGGGAAUCUUGCGCAAUGGGCGAAAGCCUGACGCAGCGACGCCGCGUGAGGGAUGACGGCCU
rnacentral:rRNA from 1 species